ACGGCUCAAAGGGUGGUUAAAAAUAAAUAUAAUAGGAUUAAAAAUUAAUUAAGCUGUUUUACGCAAUCAUUAACCUUAAUACCAUUAACGAAAGUAAUCCUAAAUAAUGAAUCCACGAAAAUCAAGACACAAACUAGGAUUAGAUACCCUACUAUGCUUGAUCAUAAACUUUGUAUUAUCCGCCUGAGAACUACGAGCUACAGCUUAAAACUCAAAGGACUUGGCGGUGCUCUACACCCACCUAGAGGAGCCUGUUCUAUAAUCGACAAUACCCGAUAAACCUCACCAUUUAUUGCCAAUACCGCCUAUAUACCGCCGUCGCAAGCUCACCCUUCAAGGGGUAUAACAGUAAGCACAAUAAUAAACAUAAAAACGUCAGGUCAAGGUGUAGCAUAUUAAAUGGGAAGAAAUGGGCUACAUUUUCUAUUAGAAAAUACGAAAUACUUAAUGAAAUUAAAUAUGAAGGCGGAUUUAGUAGUAAAAAGAAAAUAGAGAGUUCUUUUUAAAUUGGUCCUGGAGCGCGCACACACCGCCCGUCACCCUCCUCAAAUAUCCUAUAAUGUUAAAUAAAUAAAAUUAAAAAACAAGAAGAGGUAAGUCGUAACAUGGUAAGUGUACCGGAAGGUGUACUUGGUAU
rnacentral:rRNA from 1 species